UGGGGAAUUUUGCACAAUGGGGGAAACCCUGAUGCAGCGACGCCGCGUGUACGAUGAAGAUCUUCGGAUUGUAAAGUACUGUCCUUGGUGAAGAUAAUGACUGUAACCAAGAAGCAAGCCCUGGCUAAAUACGUGCCAGCAGCCGCGGUAAUACGUAUGGGGCAAGCGUUGUCCGGAAUUAUUGGGCGUAAAGGGUACGUAGGCGGUUAUUUAAGUCUAAAUUAAAAGGCAUUGGCUCAACCAAUGUAAGGUUUAGAUACUGGAUAACUUGAGUAGAUGAGGGGAAAGUGGAAUUCCAUGUGGAGCGGUGAAAUGCGUAGAUAUAUGGAGGAACACCAAUGGCGAAGGCAACUUUCUGGAAUCAAACUGGCGCUGAGGUACAAAGGCGUGGGGAGCAAACAGG
rnacentral:rRNA from 1 species